AGAAUCAACGCUGGCGGCGUGCCUAACACAUGCAAGUCGAACGCGAAAGGGGAGCAAUCCCUGAGUAGAGUGGCAAACGGGUGAGCAACACGUGGGUGACCUGCCUUCGAGUGGGGGAUAACGUCCCGAAAGGGACGCUAAUACCGCAUGACAUCCUGCUUUUGGAAAAGCGGAGAUCAAAGCUGGGGAUUCGCAAGAACCUAGCGCUUGAAGAGGGGCCCGCGCCUGAUUAGCUAGUUGGUGAGGUAACGGCUCACCAAGGCUACGAUC
rnacentral:rRNA from 1 species